GCUGGGCGUGGUGGCGUGCACCUGUAAUCCCAGCUACUCGGGAGGCUGAGACAGGAGAAUCACUUGAACCCAGGAGGCAGAGGUUGCAGUGAGCCAAGAUCGUGCCACUGCACUCCAGCCUGGGCUACAGAGUAAGACUCUGUCUCAA
rnacentral:SRP_RNA from 1 species